rnacentral:rRNA from 1 species
AUUGAACGCUGGCGGCAGGCCUAACACAUGCAAGUCGAACGGUAACAGGAAGAAGCUUGCUUCUUUGCUGACGAGUGGCGGACGGGUGAGUAAUGUCUGGGAAGCUGCCUGAUGGAGGGGGAUAACUACUGGAAACGGUAGCUAAUACCGCAUAACGUCGCAAGACCAAAGAGGGGGACCUUCGGGCCUCUUGCCAUCGGAUGUGCCCAGAUGGGAUUAGCUAGUAGGUGGGGUAACGGCUCACCUAGGCGACGAUCCCUAGCUGGUCUGAGAAGAUGACCAGCCACACUGGAACUGAGACACGGUCCAGACUCCUACGGGAGGCAGCAGUGGGGAAUAUUGCACAAUGGGCGCAAGCCUGAUGCAGCCAUGCCGCGUGUAUGAAGAAGGCCUUCGGGUUGUAAAGUACUUUCAGCGGGGAGGAAGGGAGUAAAGUUAAUACCUUUGCUCAUUGACGUUACCCGCAGAAGAAGCACCGGCUAACUCCGUG